rnacentral:rRNA from 1 species
AACGAACGCUGGCGGCAUGCCUAACACAUGCCAGUCGAACGAGACCUUCGGGUCUAGUGGCGCACGGGUGCGUAACGCGUGGGAACCUGCCCUUAGGUUCGGAAUAACUCCCCGAAAGGGGUGCUAAUACCGGAUAAUGUCUUCGGACCAAAGAUUUAUCGCCUUUGGAUGGGCCCGCGUUCGAUUAGCUAGUUGGUAGGGUAAAAGCCUACCAAGGCGACGAUCCAUAGCUGGUCUGAGAGGAUGAUCAGCCACACUGGGACUGAGACACGGCCCAGACUCCUACGGGAGGAAGCAGUGGGGAAUAUUGGACAAUGGGCGAAAGCCAGAUCCAGCAAUGCCGCGUGAGUGAUGAAGGCCUUAGGGUUGUAAAGCUCUUUUACCCGGGAUGAUAAUGACAGUACCGGGAGAAUAAGCUCCGGCUAACUCCGUG